rnacentral:lncRNA from 1 species
AAGGUUUUCUUUGCCAAGGUUCUAAUCAUGGGGACAAGAUUGGUUACUUAACCGAACUAAGAAUGUUAACUUACAAGUUUAUCGAUAAUCAUAAAGGAAAGUUUCUUCUUGAAGUCUAGGGAUUGAUGGACUUAACAGUGGUCUUAAAACCAACAUUAAACCAAAGGUCAACAUGUGAGAUUGAAAUAAUCUAGAGAGGAAAGAGUUUCAUAAACCUAGUCUAACUUGAAGAAAAUAACGCUUCACCAGCCGCUAUGUGCUUUUUCAACCUGGGUAAAACCUAGUCUAAUUCGAGCUUGACCAGAAUCAAGCUUCAAUAAAAUUUAUUUUAUGAAAUAUUGUUACUAUCUUGUGAAAAUUUUGAUUUUCUAUAUAUUUUAUAUAUUUAUAUUUGGAACAGAUCAAAUAUUUUAUCGAAUAUCCGAAUAUCUUACCGGACAUCAAAUAUCUAGUAAUUGGCAAAAUGAUACGGAUCAGAAAAGUCAAUAUCCGUAUGGAAAGGAUCAAAAAUAGCAUUUAAAUCUUGAAUAUCCAAUCUGCGUCCACCCUUAAUAUAUAUCUAAAGCUUAUAUACAAUAAUUGAAAAUAUUGGCAAUUAGAAGAAAAGAAGACUAACAAUUUCUUUUGAUAUGUAAAAUUUAAGACUCAACCUUUAUGGUAGAAGGAAAAAAAAAAAACAUUUUACCAAAAAAUACACUAUUUUAAAAAGACAAGAAAAUAUAAAAAAUUUAAGUUGAUUGAUAAGUUGCAUCAAUUUUCUGGUGAUUGUUUUGGAGCAAUUGUUUUCCAAAGUAGUGAAUAUGAAAUAUAAUUAAUUUACAAUUUGUUAGCUUAAUCGAUUUAUCUAAUUAAAAAGCCUAUAAUUGUUCAUGCACUUAUUGAAAACAACCCAGUUAAAAAAAAAUCAACAAUAUUAAGACUAACCUUUAGUGUAUGACAUCAUUGUUACCCCGCAUAUACGAAGAUAUAAGGUAGUAAUCAUCGCACCAUUUUUGUUGACCUCGGCUAUGUUUUCCGUCAAAGAAACUAUCUCUUUAGCAACGGUAUUGCAAUAUUCCUUUUCAAGAGUAGUCGUCACAAACACAAAUUUGUAGAAUAGUUUUUGCUCUCGACUAAUACGCCAUAUCAAUUUUUUUUUUGAGCACUGCGACCCUUAAUGCACCGAUGAAAGAACUCUUCAAUAGAAGUUUUGACGGAGAAAACAAAGACUUGUUUUUAGUUCUUAUCUAUAUCGUAUACGAUGUAUUUAUAUA